rnacentral:rRNA from 1 species
UACUAGAGUAGCACUCGCAUAUCAAUAAGCGGAGGAAAAGAAACUAACAAGGAUUCCCCUAGUAACGGCGAGUGAAGCGGGAAGAGCUCAAAUUUGAAAUCUUAAAGGGUUUCCCUUUACGAAUUGUAGUUUAAAGAAGUGUUUUCUGUUGAGGUUUUGGUAAAAGUUCUUUGGAAUAGGACAUCAUAGAGGGUGAGAAUCCCGUAUUUGACCUUUACUUUCAACUUUGUGAUACACUUUCAAAGAGUCGGGAUUGUUUGGGAAUGCAGUCUAAAAUGGGUGGUAAAUUUCAUCUAAAGCUAAAUAUUGGCGAGAGACCGAUAGCGAACAAGUACCGUGAGGGAAAGAUGAAAAGAACUUUGAAAAGAGAGUUAAACAGUACGUGAAAUUGUCAAAAGGGAAGCGUUUGACACCAGUGUUGUUUUUCUGAAAAUCAAUUAAAGAACUGUUUAUGCUAAGUUGUUUAGACUUUAUCAGCUAUCUGCUUAGUUUUGAGCUUUUCUUUAAUGCACUUUUCAGUUAACAAGUCAACAUCAAUUUCUUUUGCUGUAAAAAAGCUUGAGGAAGGUGGCUUGAGAUUCGUCUUAAGUGUUUAUAGCCUCUUGCCUAUGCAGUCGGAGAGAUUGAGGUCUGCAGCGUAGAUCCUUCGGGGCUAAAUGCAUUUGUGCUAAGUUAUAGCAUUUUAUAGACAACUUGUUGACUAUGAUUUGUCUUGUAGCUUACUCGCUUAUGUUAUUUUACCUACGCUUAGGAUGUUGAACUACUGAGACAUAG